rnacentral:rRNA from 1 species
UACGGGGGGGGUAAGCGUUGUUCGGAAUUACUGGGCGUAAAGGGCCCGUAGGCGGCCAACUAAGUCAUACGUGAAAUCCCUCAGCUUAACUGGGGAACUGCGUGUGAUACUGGAUGGCUUGGAUUUGGGAGAGGGAUGGCGGAAUUCCAGGUGUAGCGGUGAAAUGCGUAGAUAUCUGGAGGAACACCGGUGGCGAAGGCGGCGAUCCUGGACCAAUAUUGACGCUGAGGAGCGAAAGCCAGGGGAGCAAACGGG